CAUUCACGGAGAGUUUGAUCCUGGCUCAGGACGAACGCUGGCGGCGUGCUUAACACAUGCAAGUCGAACGAUGAACCACCUUCGGGUGGG
rnacentral:rRNA from 1 species